GCUUGUCUCAAAGAUUAAGCCAUGCAUGUCUAAGUAUAAACAACUUUGUACUGUGAAACUGCGAAUGGCUCAUUAUAUCAGUUAUAGUCUACUCGAUAGUACCUUACUACUUGGAUAACCGUAGUAAUUCUAGAGCUAAUACAUGCGCCAAGUCCCGUCUUACGUCGGGAUGUAUUUAUUAGAUUUCAAUCAACACUUUUUGCUGACUCAUGAUAACUUAGCGGAUCGCAGAGGCCUCGCGCCGGCGACAAAUCAUUCAAGUUUCUGCCCUAUCAGCUUUCGAUGGUAGUGUAUUGGACUACCAUGGCAUUCACGGGUAACGGAGGAUUAGGGUUCGAUUCCGGAGAGGGAGCCUGAGAAAUGGCUACCACAUCCAAGGAAGGCAGCAGG
rnacentral:rRNA from 1 species